UGGCUAUGAGGAUAAUGUUUACAAAUGACAUACACUGAUUGUGUUAUACGCUAUUCUGAGCCAUUC
rnacentral:snoRNA from 1 species